rnacentral:misc_RNA from 1 species
UCCAGCUUAUCGCUGGCGGUCUCCUGCGAGUUCCCAACUGAAUGAUGGCAACACAGGACGAGGGUUGCACUCGUUGCGGGACUUAACCCAACAUCUCACGACACGAGCUGACGACAGCCAUGCAGCACCUCGACUCCACCCCCUUGCGGGGUAGCGCUAUUUCUAACGCCGUUGAGAAGCCGUUCGAGCCCAGGUAAGGUUCUUCGCGUUGCGUCGAAUUGAACCACAUGCUCCACCGCUUGUGCGGGCCCCCGUCAAUUCCUUUGAGUUUCAGCCUUGCGACUGUACUCCCCAGGCGGCAUAUUUAACGCGUUAGCUCCGGCACGGACAGAAUGAACUGCCCACACCUAGUUGACAUCGUUUAGGGCGUGGACUAC